UACGUAGGGGGCUAGCGUUGUCCGGAAUCAUUGGGCGUAAAGAGCGUGUAGGCGGUCCGGUAAGUCCGCUGUGAAAGUCGGGGGCUCAACCCUCGAAUGCCGGUGGAUACUGUCGGGCUAGAGUGCGGAAGAGGCGAGUGGAAUUCCUGGUGUAGCGGUGAAAUGCGCAGAUAUCAGGAGGAACACCCGUGGCGAAGGCGGCCCUCUGGCUCGACCCUGACGCUGGAGGCGCGAAAGCGUGGGGAGCGAACGGGGAUU
rnacentral:rRNA from 1 species